CAAUCAUUCGACUAUCUAUUAUCAUUCCAGCAAGUUCAUCAUCGUGUACAAAGCCACCAUGAAAUUCAUUUCUAUGUAUUUUAUCCUAAUCCUGUUGGGCAUUCUAAUUUGCCCAUCAUUUUCAUGCAAAGACAACUAUGAAUGUAGUGAUGAUGAAAUUUGUUUUGUCGCAGUCCCUGGAAUGCCUGGCGUAUGCGAAGAAGAAUUCUCCCACUAGAGGAUGAUUUAAUAAGCUAAAUCA